rnacentral:rRNA from 1 species
UACGUAGGGUGCAAGCGUUGUCCGGAAUUAUUGGGCGUAAAGAGCUCGUAGGCGGUCUGUCACGUCGGCUGUGAAAACCCGAGGCUCAACCCCGGAACGGCAUCCGAUACGGGGCGGCUCGAGACCGAGAGAGGUGAGUGGAAUACCCAGUGUAGAGGUGAAAUUCGUAGAUAUUGGGUGGAACACCGGUGGCGAAAGCGGCUCACUGGCUCGGUUCUGACGCUGAGGCGCGAAAGCGUGGGGAGCAAACAGG